rnacentral:rRNA from 1 species
GCAAGUCGAACGGCAGCGCGGGAGCAAUCCUGGCGGCGAGUGGCGAACGGGUGAGUAAUGCAUCGGAACGUGCCCAUCGAUGGGGGAUAACUGCGCGAAAGCGUUGCUAAUACCGCAUACGACCUACGGGUGAAAGCAGGGGACCGCAAGGCCUUGCGUCGAUGGAGCGGCCGAUGCCGGAUUAGCUAGUUGGUGAGGUAAAGGCUUACCAAGGCGACGAUCCCGUAGCUGGUCUGAGAGGACGACCCAGCCACACUGGGACUGAGACACGGCCCAGACUCCUACGGGAGGCAGCAGUGGGGAAUCUUGGACAAUGGGCGCAAGCCUGAUCCAGCAAUGCCGCGUGUGGGAAGAAGGCCUUCGGGUCGUAAACCACUUUUGGCAGGAAAGAAAUCGUCCGGGUUAAUACCCUGGAUGGAUGACGGUACCUGCAGAAUAAGCACCGGCUAACUACGUG